CCCCUUCUAAAAGCACUUGCGUUGUCUGCUCAGUGGCUGGGUGAGUUGUCGAAGAAGGGAAGAUUGAGCUCAUCACUGUGGGUGAGAUGGCAGCGAUACACUGUAGUUGACUUAUCUCAAUCAGUGAUGAGACAAGC
ensembl:snoRNA small nucleolar RNA, H/ACA box 21